AUUAUUUUGGCAGAAAAGUGCAUUAAAUUUAGAAUUUAAUUAUGUAUAUUAAAUUAUAUAGAUAAUA
rnacentral:tRNA from 1 species